GCAAAGCUCCCAAAGCCUCACGUUCAGCUUUUUCCUUCUUCACAAGAGCCAUCAUAUCUUGAAGGUAGGUCCUGAAAGGGGUUUGCAUUGCCUGGAGGUCCUCGGGAAGGUACUCGUGUUUCAUGGAAAGGUCCAUUGCGCGCUUGAGACGCUGGGUACGAGCGUCCACAAUCUCUCUGGGGAGCCGAUAAAGCGCCUCCUUCACGUCCAGAUCGUAGUACGGAUCGUAAAGAUCGUCGUAUCGGAGCCCAUAUUUGCGGAGACGUUUGGAGAGAGCUUUCAUGUGCUGCUUCGCGAACCAGUUCUUCCUUGGAUCUAGAAAUGAUUGCAAAAACGUCGACAUUUUGCCACUCUGAUUCCUUCUCCUUUCUCUCUCUAUUUCUGCCUGUGCAAAACUUUAAAGCUUUUGCCCUCCGGCUGC
rnacentral:misc_RNA from 1 species